rnacentral:lncRNA from 1 species
UCCAUUGUUAAAGAGAACAACGUUUUAAUGAAACUUCUUUCAAAUCUGUGAAGUACAUGUGAAGUAAGUGCUUUUAUUCUUUCCAUAGGACAGAUUUCCAAACAAUGAUCACAGUGCUUAGGUUAAUAAGAUGCUAGACAGAUGAGUAGCCAGAGAAUGCUAUGAAAUAACAAAAUCCCUUCAACCAUAUAGCAAACGCAGAUUACCGAGACAUCAAGUGAAUGAUGUUUAGAGUUACAUGACUAAAAACGAGACAUUACAGUAAUCAAGUCAUAAAACUAGAAAAAGUUAUGUAACAAAAAGGCCUUUCAAAAGCUAUUAAAUGAGCAUACGUGAUAGAUGAACCAAUUGUAUAUCUGAAGCAGCUUAUAGCACCAACAUGUUGGCAGGACCUGUAGAGAGGGUAGGCCGCUGGACCGAGGCAUCGUUGGGGGGUUGGGGGAAGUUCCCACCAUCAUCUACUUUGAGCCUCCUGUUUUACAGAUGGUGAAACGGGGGCCCAGCAAGAUGAAGUGCCUUGUCCAAAGUCACAUGACACAGGGACACAAGAUUGGCUGGAAAACACUCCAAGGCUACGAUCCAGGCCGCCUAACUUUAGGUAAGGGUUCUAUUUUAAUUUACACAUAAUUCUAUUUGAUGCAUGUGUUUUGUUCCCAUUAACAGCUCCACCAUAAAAGAAAUCAAUACAAUUCAUAACACAUUCCAGUAUUAUAUUUUAUUGAGAAGGACUGACACGUACUGCCCUUCAUUUCUUGGGCCUCUAAAGAUCUUCAGUCAAUAGCUGGAAUAAUCGGAUAACACUUCUGUUGGUUGUAAAUUGGCUGAGAAGGUGGCAUCUGAAGACAACGUUCAGCACCUCUUUUACUACCUAAACUAACCUAUGCCUCAAAAUUGCUAAAUCAUUGGUAUAAUUUCUUUGAUAGUUUGAAGAUUAGUAAAGUACAAAAACAGUACAGAAAGAGAGCAGGUCAGGUCCUUCCUUUAAAAGGUAAUUAUGGCACUUUGAUUUUAAUAAGGUAAGGAAAUGUAAAAACCAGAUUCUUUUUAGAAGAAAAAGUAACUACAACCUCUACCCUUGUGGACAACCUGGUGUAAUGUGUUUCUAUAAAAUACUUUGGAUUCAAGAACUUUUGUCUAGCAUAUUUUGCCAUGGUCCUGGGGCCUCGAUUGGACAGAUUUAUGCACUAACAAACAUACAAGAAUGAGAAAAAAGAUCAGCGUUAACAGAAGCAGUAUUAAAGACAAAAAUAUAAUGAACCUAUUUAAAUAGCUUCCUAGAUGUGAAGCCAAGAAGCUGCACGUAUAUUAUGUGAUUAGUGUGUCUUUAAAGUGGUGCUUUGGGGAAAGAAACCCACCGUAUACGGGGCACUUGUCCAUUAUCAUAAGCAAGCUGCUGCAGAACAGUUCAAUCGUGGUUCAUAAGUAGAUUAAAGCCUGAUAAAUAAAAGUGACUUCUGCAUAUCCUAUACAUAGAUUUUCUUAAAUAGACAUCUAGCUGUAAGUAAAUCAACAUUUAGCUACAAUUUUUCCGCACUGGGUCCAGCGUCAAAGGAUGGGAUUUCACUUCUCUUGAACAUGCCCUACGCCCAGUUAAGAGGUUACAGGACAGCCGUGCUCCUAGCCUUUAUGAUAUCUGACUGGCAAAAAAUGUAACCUCCCGGGACCUCAAGUCCAUUCCUUACCCACUACAAGCAUAUCAACAAAUAGAGAGCAAAACCUACGUGGCUCCCGUUGGCUAAAAAGAUAAUUUAGUACUAAAGAAUAAACUUAUGCUUGCUACUGAAAAGGUGCACAGAUACCGAGUAGGUAUGAUAAAAUUUCAUAAAAAUAUUUAACAAGCUGCAUUAUAAAUACUUAAGGAAAAAUGUUAAAAUCAGAAUGAAAAUACGAUUAGUGUUCUGAAACCAUCAGUAGAAAAAUACACUUGUUAAAGGAAAAGGCCUCAUGGAGUGAAGCGUUAAGUGUCAUGUGUUUUUAGUGCACAUUUCGAAUGUCACCCCCUCUCGCUCCUGAACAGGCGCCUGUAAUUUUCUUGGAAACCGGGCGUGUUGCAAAACCAAGCGGGAGAUGUCAAGGGGUUAAGGCCAGUGGCAUGAUUUUCCACAUGAUGUUGGAAAAGUGAGGGCAGUUCACAAUGUUGAAAAGAUAGGUGGCUGGGGAAGUCCUGACUCGGUUUGAGCAGCUUAAAAAUAGCCCCGCAUCUGUUCAGCCCCAGUCAGCUUCAGACUCGGAACCCAGACGUGCGACUGUAGGGGCGGGGGGGGGGGGGGGGGGCUUGGGUGGCAGAGCAAGAGCGUGUAGGACUAGGGGAAAGCGCUGUAAAUAGUUCCAUCUUGGGGGUUGGAUCCUUUUGGAAGGUGAGCUUUUAAUCCUUCAUUAGUAGAUAUUUUAAGGAACUAAAGAUGAAUUAAAAUAUCAGAGGCUUGUGUAUGGCGUGCGCCCUUAAGGGAGUGUUUUUUGUUUAAAAAAGGGGGCCCUUCCUCCCUCUUUGAUAAAACUAAGAUACUCUGUGGCCUAGGAGAUUCCUUGGGAUGCCCACGGGCAAGCCCCAGGACUUGAGGGCUGAGUUCACACCCAGAGGAACAUCCAGGAACCUGAGGACAGCUGCUGGCACCCUGAAGCCCAAGUGUACUCCAGGUCUAAGCCUGCCCUGGGGGGUGCGGACAAUCGGGGAACACGCCGCACCCCCUUCCCCCGGGUAUUUGACAAAUCUGAUGCCUUUGGCUCCUGUAGGGUUCUUUCCCACCACGGUCCACCCCGUUGGGGCCGGGAGGUGAGCCUCACCUCUGCAAACAGCUGUCCUGGCCAGAGAGGCGAGCUGAAGGGCAGGGCAGAGAGGAGGAAAUCACAAAGCUUGGCUAAGAAAAGCACACGGCUUUUACACAUUCUCGCUCUCUGCGCCGGGCUCCCGUGGACCCUCCUUUACUUUAAGCAUCAAGGCGGACCUUCCCCUGCAGGGCACGUCCCCCUCACUGCAGAGAACACGAGCCCCCGGGGAGCAGCUGCCCACAGUCCUGCCCGGGGCCUCUUCCCCUUUUCAAGACCCGCGAUCGCUGAAGCCCAAAGGCUCCCUUGGGAAAACCUCAGAGGAGGGCCUGUAGUUCGGUUUUUAAUUUUACUUGGUGCAGUUGAUGAGCUAAGAGGUCAGCAAGGAGUCUUCCUUACCCAGUUACAGUGGCUCCGACCUUAGGACGUUCUUUACUUUUUGUACGGGAACUCCGUACAUAGGACAGGGCAGAGGCGUGGCUUCUGGAGCUGAGGAACUGAGAGACGUUUUAACAAGGAAAUAAGCCUUGAGACGUGUAUAUACAAAGACUUAUACACACGGCGCUCCUCACCCAGGGACACGGUGCAGGUCGGCACAACCCUAGGAUGAUGUAAAGGCUUUAGGACUUAAGUUAUCACUGUUUUUUUUUUUUUUUUUUUUUCGAAAUGGCCCAAACCAACUUUUCUUAAGCAGUAACCCAAGAGGACACCAUAGUUAUCGAGUGGAAAAGAAGACC